ACAUGCAAGUCGAGCGGACAGAUGGGAGCUUGCUCCCUGAUGUUAGCGGCGGACGGGUGAGUAACACGUGGGUAACCUGCCUGUAAGACUGGGAUAACUCCGGGAAACCGGGGCUAAUACCGGAUGGUUGUUUGAACCGCAUGGUUCAAACAUAAAAGGUGGCUUCGGCUACCACUUACAGAUGGACCCGCGGCGCAUUAGCUAGUUGGUGAGGUAACGGCUCACCAAGGCAACGAUGCGUAGCCGACCUGAGAGGGUGAUCGGCCACACUGGGACUGAGACACGGCCCAGACUCCUACGGGAGGCAGCAGUAGGGAAUCUUCCGCAAUGGACGAAAGUCUGACGGAGCAACGCCGCGUGAGUGAUGAAGGUUUUCGGAUCGUAAAGCUCUGUUGUUAGGGAAGAACAAGUACCGUUCGAAUAGGGCGGUACCUUGACGGUACCUAACCAGAAAGCCACGGCUAACUACGUGCCAGCAGCCGCGGUAAUACGUAGGUGGCAAGCGUUGUCCGGAAUUAUUGGGCGUAAAGGGCUCGCAGGCGGUUUCUUAAGUCUGAUGUGAAAGCCCCCGGCUCAACCGGGGAGGGUCAUUGGAAACUGGGGAACUUGAGUGCAGAAGAGGAGAGUGGAAUUCCACGUGUAGCGGUGAAAUGCGUAGAGAUGUGGAGGAACACCAGUGGCGAAGGCGACUCUCUGGUCUGUAACUGACGCUGAGGAGCGAAAGCGUGGGGAGCGAACAGGAUUAGAUACCCUGGUAGUCCACGCCGUAAACGAUGAGUGCUAAGUGUUAGGGGGUUUCCGCCCCCUAUUGCUGCAGCUAACGCAUUAAGCACUCCGCCUGGGGGAGUACGGUCGCAAGACUGAAACUCAAAGGAAUUUGACGGGGGCCCGCACAAGCGGGUGGAGCAUGUANNUUUUAUUCGAAAGCAACGCGAAGAACCCUUACCAGGGUCUUGACAUCCUCUGACAAUCCCUAGAAG
rnacentral:rRNA from 1 species